GGCCAUGGACCACACAAUCCUACUCUCUGAUCCUGUGAAUGUGACUAUUUAGUGCUAUUGAGAGGUUCCAAACUCAGAAUGGGGGAAAGAGGAUGUGAUUUGAUUUCCUAAAAGCCCCAAGCAGUGAUUGACCAAAAACUUCCUCCUGACUAGAAUGUCUGCUCAUUGCCACAGCAGUGCUCCAACAGAAUGUUUUGGCAACAGUCCC